GGCAGCCCACUCAUUGUGUGUAGAAAAAAUAACAUCAAAAUUAUGCUCUAAUUAUAUAGGCAUUGCGGUACAUGCAAAGCAAUAUCAUAAUAUUUGAUUCUUCCUUUUUAUGCUCUCCGUCAUAGCCAAUCCCCCUCUUUAUACGUACAUGCACUUGCAUCUGUCUUUAUCACUGAUGGAGAAGAUUUUCAUAGAAGAUUUUAGAUUACGUCACAAAUUAGAUAAAGAUAUCUAUUUAUCUGUUUUAGUCCAUAUUUUGAUUUUCAAGUCGUUUUUUGAGGGAAAAACGAAGACGGAAAUACCUGUCCUAUGAAUUGACCGAUAACAGAAGGAAGCAUUUGAAGUGAGUGCGAAAUAGGCGGAGUACUACGAUGUACAAUAACAACUUCUGCCAAAAAUACCAAGCACUGGCAAACACUUGCUGAGUUCAACAACAAAGGUUUUGUCUUACUUUAUAACGAAACAACUGUUUAAAGAUAAAAUUGAGACACAAUAAAGAUACAAUGAAGAUAAAAAUGCCCAACCAAGUCUUUAUUCCAUCACAAUGAGCAUACAUACACCAAGGACAAGGCAACAAGUUCCUUUACUCUCUACAAUUGGAUUAAAAUUGGAUAACUGUUUCACUUGACUAUUGCUACCAAUAUAAGAUUUGCAACUCCGAUCCGAUAGGAGGUUGACUGGAAUAAGAUAAUUCUCACAAAAGGUUAUGGACACAUUACGGAUGUAAAAAUUCUAGCCAUAUCAUUUUUCAAUAUUGUACGAAGAAUGUUGAAUCUAUUGUGGCAGUGAAAUAACAACCACUUAGCUAACAACAAGAUAAUUGAGUUUCACUUUCAAGAUCCCACUGCUUUCCUGUGUCUUCAUUGUUGGGGGUGGGAUGGAAGAUGUUGUUGACUGUUGUGGGAGGUUUUGGGAUAAUUGACACAGAUCCCUGAUCAUGUCUAAGCAUUCUUUUCGAGUUGCCUGAUGUCGAAUUUAAUCUAUUUUAACUGAUAUUGUUUUGGCAGGUUUGGAGAAGUUGUUCUAUAGGGCACUGUUUGCUAAUAUGGCUUGCUGGUGGUGGAAACAAACUUGACAAAGUAACAAACCAACUCAUGUGAGAACGGAAAAGACAGCGUAACAGAGUGAAAGAGAUCUUUCAUUUGAAAGAGUUUUUUUGUUUGAAAGUUCUAUUUAUAUUUCGAUGGUCUUCCUUUUAGUGUAGGCUGUAGUGAAAGGACUAUAAAUAUUCAGUUGAGAGAAAGGAACAGGGUUCCCAAUACAUUUUCAUCAUCUAUAGCCUGAACAAUCACCAGCUAUUUCUCAAAUUACAACCCAAAAUAUUUUCUCCUUACCACAGAAAUGUCAAAGGAAAGGUUUUUCUGUUAUAUAAGCUACAUUUUACAUGAUAUUCUUUGUUAAAUAUUUGAAUAUGAGGAAAUCUUCAAAACAGCUUUUCAAAAUUGCUGGAAAUGCCAUCGCAGAUCAAGGGGAGAUGCCCUCAGACCCCUUCCUCUAGAAGAGUGCAUUCAGUACCAAUAGCCGCCUACUUCUUUCAAAACGCCUCCAAAUUCUAUUGGGGAUCCUGAAAGAAAGUGUGCCACUACUAAGGAAAGGACAUCCCACUGGCUUGAGACACAAUUUUAGGGGGCCGGUUGUUUUUUGCCUGAUGUCAAAUGUUAUCAUCAAAAUUUUUUUGCCUGAUCGUGAACCAAAAAUUGUCCGACUUUGCCCUAUUUCAUUUUACAGUAUACUGCUAGUUAUCCUCCAAGGAAAACAGGCAAUCACUAGGAAUGGAAACAAGAGAUGCAAGAGGAUAUAUCCAUGUGUUAUUAUAUCCCACCAAGGAGGAUGAAGGGACUGGCUGCCCCUCCCCAAUGUUUUUCAAGGAUGGAAAAUUGUCAUCAGAUUGUAGGUGUUCCUUGUCUUGCGUCACAGAAUGCUAUACAGAAGUCCAUCUCCAUUGUUUUAUGCGUAAGCGCCAUUCGUCAUGAAUGAUGAUUUGUCACUCAGCAAGUACCGUAAACAGAAGCAGUCACCUCCCUGGAAAUAUUCAAAAUGGCACAUGUGCAGGGGGUGAUUGCUGCUUCUGUUUACGGUACUUGCCAAGUGACAAAUCAUGACGAAUAGCGCUUUAUUGCACUUACGCAAAAAAAAAACAAUGGAGAUGGACUUCUGUAUAGUAUUCUGUGCUUGCAUGCAUCUUUAAAGCUCUAUUGAUUUGUAUAUUUUCACUACCCGCUCCCAAAUAUAUAUAAAAAUCAUGGCAUUCUAAUUCGUGGUACUUUACACAGAAUAUAAACAUUAAUUUAAUACAACACGC
rnacentral:lncRNA from 1 species